rnacentral:rRNA from 1 species
CGGGAAGCCUACCUCAAGAUAAGAUUUCCCUAGGACUUUAUGUCCUCUAAAGAGCCGUUCGAGACUAGGACGUUGAUAGGUUGGAUGUGGAAGCAUAGUGAUAUGUGAAGCUGACCAAUACUAAUUGCUCGUGAGGCUUGACUAUACAACACCCAAGCAGUUG